AUCAGAUUUAACCUUUAUUAAAAAUGUGUUAGUCAUUAUAUAAAAGAAUCUUUACAAGCAAAGAGAUGAUUUUAUUACAUAAAAAGACAAUGAGAAUGCCAUGUAAAGUAUAAAGGAGUAUUAUAUUUUCCACGGUUCAACAUAUAGUACUGGCAGUGUUUAAUUAUUACAGUAUAGCCCACCAUUAUCACCUCUGCUAAAAACGUACAUAUCAAGCCCAUUAUUUUUUUAAAAGCAUCAACAGAAACUGUCAACACUCUCUGCUAGGGAUUUUCACAUCUUAAUUUCCUUUACCGCAAAAACAAACACUGCAUUCUCUCCCAAUGAGUUCUACUAAAACGUGUUCACAUUUCUUGAGCAGAUACACACAAUUCUGCAGUUGUAAAAAGUUUGCAAUGAAAUUUUAUUAAAUGUAUAGCAUCACUGAUUUUCUCAAAACCCUACCAAUAUUAAGUAGUCUACCGUUUUGACAUCUUAACGCCCCAUCAAAAGAAAUAAAAUAAAAGUUUUUGUUUUUUUAGCUUUUGUAACACAUACGGAAAAGAUCUAUUCACCAGACAUUUAACCCCUUAAGGACACAACUUGUGAAAUAAAAGGGAAUCAUGACGGAAUAUUUCCGUCAUGUGUCCUUAACGGGUUUAAAAAAAAAAAAAAAAAAGUGAAACAUAUCAUGUUUUGUAAAAUGGGGAAAAAAACAACACACCAAGAAAAAAAGGUUCAACUGUCUAAUGCAUAUAUUUCAUCUAUUAGUGUUAAAAGUUUCAAAACAACUUAAUUGGUCCCUAAUUGGAAACCGUUCAGAACUGGCUCUGACAACCCCGAUUUGGUGUAAAUUUCUCAUAUUCUGAUUUAGUGUGCUCACAUAUAUUGUGUGUUGUUUUGUAAGGUUCCAUUUAGCUGUUUUAUAAUCUACAUAUAUAUAUAUGUAAAAACUAAUUUAGUAUCUAUAAAGAAUAAAUUCGUUUUUUUGUUUUUACAGUGUUGCCUAUUAUAAUGUGCAAGCAAGUAGUACAGCUAAGAAGUUUACUAAAAAAAUAUAAUUAACUUUUUCCUAAAUUUAGGAGUAAUUUAUUACUUGCAUCUAUCAUUGUUUGUUAUCGUUAGGCCAUAGACUCCAAGGAGCGCAACACUAUUUCAAAGCUAAAAUCUUUAAAACACUGCAUGCAUAGGAACUGUAUGUACCUUGCAUGCAACCCCAAAUUACAAAGAAUAAUAGUUUUUUAAUUUUUUUUAUUUUUUUUAAAGGUUGUGGUAACAUUUAGAUUUUUACAAAUACAUUGCAUUUUUUUCUGUGGAUUUAUUUAUACUAUAAAAUCCCAAAUUGGUGUUUUGCUAAGUUCCCAAGCAAAGAUAUGUCCCAUAUCACUAGGGCCUGCACACGUUUCCCGUGUUUUUCCAAAUUAGCUUACAACAGUUACGGUUCUGAAUUGAAAGAAAAACAUUAUAAUUUUAAAGUUUGAAAUUUUGAUGUUUGCCUGAUGUUUCACUUUGGGUCAUUUGUAGUAAUCACCAUAGAAGGUAAAAUAAACAUUAUUUUGCAUGCUCAAAAUUCAAAGAUGUGUUUAUACAUCAUAUAUUUUUACAUUACUUUUACUCUUUUUUUUUUCAUAAUCAGUGACCCAGUGAUAUAACCUCUAAUGGCAGUUUUUUUAAAUUUAUAUUAUUUGUUUUGUAUAACCUAAUACCUUAAUGUAUGUCUACAGUCAUCUUGAGAAACUUGCCAAUUAUUUUUCCAGCUACUGACAUUCUAUAAUAGGAAGCUGUAUACUAGGAUAAGCCAAGUUACACUGUUGAUAUUAUAUAUACCUGUAAUAUAUGUGAAAUAUCCACCCGCCCAAUACAUAUAUAAUUUAUAUAGUUACACAGCUGAAAACAGAAAUGCGUCCAUCAAGUUCAGCAUUCCUCACAUCUGUUUUUGAUGUUGAUGCAAAAGCAGGUAAAAACCCAAUUUAAAGCCCUUCCAAUUUUAAACAUCUGUACAGACUCUGAUAAAACCACCGCUUCAGGCAGAGAAUUCCACAUCCUUAUUGUUCUUACUGUAAAAACCCUUUCCUUUGCCUUAGACUAAAAUUCCUUUCUCCCAAUCUAAAUGCGUGACUUGUAAGGACACAUUAAGUAUAUAUCUCAAAGUAUACACUUAUAUAAUAUUUAAUAAAAAAAUUUUUUAACAAGUUGACUUUGCAUACCCUGAAUUUUAAUAGCAAGUUUGUUACCUUUCUGGUUUACAAUGAACCUGUUACAUAUUAGUUUAAUGCCAUGUAACACAACACUUACGGAAAACCUUGGCAUAGCAUAAGCUGAAGAGUGCGAAAUUUGGAAGCCCGUUUCACCAACAGUUUUUCUGAUGUCUCAAUUCUGGGGACACUAGAGAAAUGUGCCAGACAGGCACGUAUUUAAAUAUGCUCUCACGGCACAAGAAUAACAGGGCAUUACAGCCAGUCACAAGCGUUAUAGUAGCACUACGUGAAUGGGAAGCCAAGCACGCCUUGUUUCCUUACGUCAAGUCACUCGUGACGCAAACUGUCACUGGAUCACCAGUUCCAUUCUCCCUACUGUCACAUCAACAUACUUACAAGUAGGGAAUAGGUGUUUGCUUAAAUGACAGCUGCAGACACAUAAAACACUUUUAGCUUGCUUAUUUUUCCAACAGGAUUAUAAAAGUGCAGAUUUCAGUACAAAUUGGCACUUUUAUAAUUUGGGGCAGAAGUAUCUCCAUGGCUAUCACUCAGAGAGCUAUGUUUUUUUUCCGUCUGCUUUCAUUAGUGCCACAGAAUAAACAGAGGUAGCAAGUGUGCCGACCUGGAGAGUGUCUGACAGCAUAGCAGAGCUGUGAUCACCAUGGGUGUAGGAACCCCAAAAAAUCUGGGGGGGAUAACAUUUUUACUCGCCGGGUAUAUUCUUAUUCCGUAAACUAUGAGUUGUUUAUCCCAUUGCACAGCACUAUGGAAUUUGCAGUCGCUAUAUAAAUGAUUAAAUAAUAACUUUAAAGGGUCACUACAGGGAAGGGAUUUUACUUACCUGGAUACAGCGCCGGGAUCCUCCUGAUGCUGCGCCCCCUAUUUCGUCAAAAUAACAAAGUAGGAGGGUGCGAGCUCUUCAGAAGCGUCAUUGCUCUCUGGUGCGCAUGCGCAGCUUUGCCGCACAUGCGCAGAUACUUCAUAGGGCGGCAUUCAUGUCUCGACUAGGAAGCACCUCUAGUGGCCAUCUGAGUGUCCACUAGAGGUAUUCCUCAGCAGUAAUGUAAAUACUGCCUUUUUAUGAAAU